rnacentral:sRNA from 2 species
UGUGCCUGUUUACGCAGGAUACUUCGCAAUCAAUUGCUCAUCGGCCAUUGGAGCUGCCUGCCCGUUGAUCCGCCUACCCGUGUCUGCCCACUACCGAUUCUUGAUCAGAUAGCUCUUGAAACCGAUCUGCCCAUUCUUCCAGCCGCUCUUAUUGAUGCAUACAACCGAUCCGACAUGCUCAUGAUAUUCCGAUGAUCUUUCGAGUCUAUAUAAUUAUUCGUGGGCCCAUCUAGUAGAGUCACUACGUAUGGAUUCUAGACCCCUUUGAGGCUUGAGGCGAUGAUUCCUUGAAAGCCAGACGUCCGGGUCUCGAAGUACUUCGGUGCCUGGCUGGGAGGAACCAGAGUAGGAAUUGUGUACAAACAUAAAGAAUUGUUUCUAAGACAAACGCAAUAUCAUCGACUGCCAUUGCCCACAGCUGGGUAGCUCUAGCAGGAAGAUCCUUUGCAAGAUAUUGAGGCCUGUUUGGUUAGCAAAGAAUCCACAUCACUCAUUUCCCCCACUCUCCCGACCUCACAUGAGGGUUAGGGAUAGCUUAGCGGAGUAUUCUCCGUUUUCUCAUUUACUCCGAAUGUUUUUUAUAUUGCCUUUUUUGUUGGAUAUUUGCAGUUUUUGCAUAUUCCAUUCCCCUCACAGCUAGCUAACUAGUUACGCAUUCAUUCAUGUUUGUGUCAUCGAUCGGUCAAUGACUUGAAGAACAAAAGAAAAAGAAACUCUAUUGAAGCUCGAAUAACGGAGAACUUUAGAGAUCCUUAUUUACAAACCAUCAGAUCAUUACGAAGCUUAAAUAACCACUGCAAUGCAUGUUAUAUCAAUAUGUUCCUCGCAUAGGAAACAAGAAUAUCUUUUAAAGAUUAGAGUU